UUUGGUAAGUGUUCUGGUUCUUUUAUUAUGAAAAUAUGAUCUUUCUGUAUAGCCCUUUACCCUAAUGACUUUGACAGUUGCUCAUAUUUCCUCAGUUCCCCCUUGAGCCACACUGUCUGUUAACUUGAAAGGCCUUUUCUAAAGAAAAUCUUUUUGUAUAAACACAUUGGGUUCAUAGUCAGUAAUGUCCACACUCAUUGUUACCCAUGAUGAUCAUCAGCUAGUAUAAUUUUAAAGGUAUUAAUUUUGGGGUUGUUUAUAAUGCUGAACCAAUGGAAACAAUUUAACUCAUUAAUAUGGAACUGGUUAUAUAAAGUAUGAUAAAAUUAUAUGUUGCAGGGGUCAACACACUUUCUCUGUAAGGGUCGGAUGUAAGCUACGGAGUCUCUGAUGCAGCGUCUCAAUUUUCCUGUUGUAGUAUUAAAACAGAAACAAUAUAUAAAUUAAUAAGCAUCAUAGCUAUGUUUCUGUAAAAUUUUAUUUAGGAGGUAGACCAUAUUAGGCCUGUAGGCCAUAAAUUGCUGGACCCAAUGUAAUGAACUUUCACUCUAUGACUAUUUAAAAAAAUCAAAUAGAAUUAUAUAUAUUGACAAAAAUGUCCAUCAAGUUUUUAUUUUUUUACAAGAGAAACUAUAUAAGCUGGGCAUGAUGGUGCAUCCCUUGUAAUCCUUGUGACUCAGGAGACCAAGGCAGGAGAUUUGUAAGAUAGAGGCCAGCCCAGGCAACUUAGUGAGAAUCUGUCUAAAAAUAAAAACAAAAAGAUGCAGAGUGUGGUGUUGCAGUCCUAUAAUCCUGGUGGCUUGGUUUGGGAGGCUUCUGCAGGAGGAUCACAAGUUCAAGACCAGCCUCAGCAACUUAGCAAGGCACUAAGCAAUUUAGCAAGAGAGAGACCCUGUCUCAAAAUAAAAAAGGGCUGGGGAUGUGGCACCAUGGUGAAGUGCCCCUUCAUUAAAUACCCAAUAACUCCUUCCCAAAAAAUAAAUAAAUAAACAAUAAAAACAAAGAGCUAGGGAUAUUGUUCAGUGGUAGCGUGCCCCUGGAUUUACUAACACAAAAGGAAAAUAAGUAAAUAAAUACAUACACACACAUACAUAUAUAUAUAUAUAUAUACAUUUAACAUAUAUUUAAUACAUAUAUUAAUAUAUAUAUAUUUAACAUAUAUAUAUAUAUAUAAUUUGGUCAAAAUUCCACAUACACACUUUGUUUGUAGCACUGGGAACUGGAUCCAGGGACACUUUGUAUCUGAUAUAAAUCCCCAGCCCUUUUUAAAUUUUAUUUAAGACCGGACUUUACUAAGUUGCACAGGCUGGCCUUGAACUUGAGAUCUUCCUGCCUUAGCCUGUGAGUAGCUGGUACUACACAUGUGCUACUAUGCCCAGCCACAUACCUAUAUUUGUAUGGGUCAGAAAGAGCCUGAAAAGACACAUGCUCAACUUUUAACAGUAGCCAGACCACAUUAGGGCAGGUAGACACUUUUCCUUACCUUAUUAUUUUUUUUUUUUAAUUUUUUAGUUGUACACAAUAUCUUUAUUUUGUUUAUUUUUAUGUGGUCUGAGGAUUGAACCCAGGGCCUCGCACAUGCUAGGCAAGCGCUCUACCACUGAGCCACAAUCCCAGCCCAUCCUUACCUUAUUAUUGAAUAUUAUGUUGUGAGAGAGCCUUGCCUUUGAUAUAAUUAAAUAAAAUGCAACUAGGAUUUGUUUUUGUGUUUUUUUGUUUGGUUUGGUUUGAUCUCGGUACCAGGGAUUGAACUCAGGGGCACUCAACCACUGAGCCACAUCCCCUACUCUAUUUUAUAUUUUAUUUAUUUAGAGAUAGGGUUUCACCAAGUUGCUUAGUGCCUAGUUUUUGUUGUGGCUGGCUUUGAACUUAUGAUCCUCCUACCUCAGCCUCCUGCGCUGCUGGGAUUACAGGCUUGGGCCACCAUGCCCAGCUUGGGAUUUGUUUUAAAAGUUUAAAAAAAAAAAAAAAAAAAAAGUUAGCCUUAAUAAUUAUGUAUAUAAGCUUGUAUUUUACAUAAAAUCUAAGAACUUCACAAUUAAAAUAACUCCCAAUCAUCAUUAACAAAGUGACUAUAACCUCAGCUACUUAUGGCUUUAAAUGGGAGUUUAUUUAUUUAUUUUGUAUCUUUUGGUGGCAGAAAUGGGACCCAGGGGCACUUUACCACUGAGCCACAUCCCCAACCGGGUCUUGCUAAUUUGCUUAGUUUUGAUAAAUUGCUGAUGCUGACCUUGUACUUGCAAUCUUCCUGCCUCAGCCUCUUGAGCCGCUGGGAUUACAGGCAUGCACCACCAUGCCCAGUUGUAAAUGGGGGUUUAGACAGAUUCAUGGUCAUAAUAAGGGAUAUUUAAUUGAAAAGUCAGAUCAAUGCCUUAGCUGGGAACCAGGAGCUGUAUCUGGAGGCAGGUUCUGCAGAUCCUGGGGACAGCCUCAGCAAUGCUGUCAUGUCAAGCAUCUUUCUAGAUCUUCAGGGUCUCAGGAAUGUGCAGCAGCUUCCAGCUUCCUGGUCAUUAACUGCAUUUGCUCCUACCAGAUUUCUCCUUUGCCAAGAACCCUCUCCAGGCCAGGUCCUAAAGCAGGAAGAGGACUCAUGCACUUUCACAGCCAUAGCAGGAAGAAAACUAUACAUAGAUAAAUACACACCACACACAUGAAGGCAGUACUGAGUCUCACCCUAUGUACUUUAUGGAAAAUGUCCUGGAUGCUUUAGAAUCCUGCUUUGGAACUUCAAACAGAGAAAUGAAGUCACAUAAAUGAGUAAAAUUUUUUAUUUUAUGUUACAACUUCUAUAAUUGCCCAGGUAUCUGAAGUCUUGCUAAUUCUCCCUCUGAAAUAUCUUUUACAUCUUUCUCGCUUUCCUAUUCCUAUAGUCAGUGGUGUGUGAUGGAACUUGAAAGAGCCAAUACUUAAUUUUCAGAAAGUGGUCAAGUCGGUUAUUAUAUGGUUGACAUCUUGAAAUAUUGGUAAUAUUGGUAAUAUUCAUACCACAAAAAUCAGCAAAUGAUACACAUCAACUGCUUCUCAUCUUUAGCCUGAACUGAGCAGAUGGUAGACAUUUACCAGCAUCUCACCACAUAUAGGUCUUUCCCUAAUUUAAGUCUUUAUUACCUUUUUUUUUUUAAGUUGUAGAUGGACACAAUACCUUUAUUUUAUUUAUAAAAACCCAUAUGGGUUCAACCCCAUAUAUAAAUAAAAUAAAGUAUCGAACCCAGUGCCUCACCCAUGCUAGGCAAGCAUUCUACCACUGAGCUACAACCCAAGCCCCUUUAUACUUUUUGCAUGGACUGUUAAAAAAUCUUACUAACCAGUAUUUCUGCACUUGGAUCCUUCUCAUUCUAGCAAAUUUUUAGAGUAUUUUUUACUAUAUGUAACAGAAAACCUCAUUACAGAUUUCUUAAAUAUGAGAAAAAAUUAUAAUUUCACAUACCAAAUAGUUCAAAGAUAGGGCACUUUCAAGAAACCCUACACCUCACAGGCUCACUAAGUGCUCAAAUUCUUUCUAUUUUUCAACAUUGCCCCACUCAUCCUGUUAGUAUUUCCCUUAAUGGCUUCAAGACAACUGUCAUGAUUCAAAUAUCACAUCCUUUCGUAAUGACAUUUAUAUGUUUUCACUACAUACAAUCUUCUAAAAAGCCAGUAAGCAGGUUUCCCCUUGAGUCUCUUUUGACAGAAUCAAAACCCACACUUGGUUUUUGUUUUUUUGUUUGGUACCAGGGAUUGAACCCAGGGGCACUUAACCUCUGAGCCACAUCCCAGCCCUUUUUUAUAUUUAGAGACAGGGUCUUGCUGAGUUGCUUAGGGUCUCACUAAGUUUCUGAAGCUCACUUUGAACUCUUGAUCCUCCUAUCUCAGCCUCCUGAGCCUCUGGCAUUACAAGGCAUGUGCCACUACACCCAGUCCACACUGGUUCUUAAGACAAUCACUAACUAAGGUAAUAGAAUUACCAAGAUUGGUUCAGAUCACUGGUUCCCAACCCUUUAAAAUGAACAUAUUAUUAUAUAUUAAAUAUUUCAUAAUACUCCUCUUUUUUGAAAUGAAAAUCAAAGAUGAUAAAACCUACCCACACACAUAAAAAUAUAAAUCACUGGCUGGGGAUGUGGCUCAAGCGGUAGCGCGCUCGCCUGGCAUGCGUGUGGCCCGGGUUCGAUCCUCAGCACCACAUACAAACAAAGAUGUUGUGUCCACCGAGAACUAAAAAAAUAAAUAAAUAUUAAAAAAAAAGUAUUAAAAAAAAAAUAUAUAUAUAUAUAUAAAAAUCACUAUAAACCCUAACUGGGAUAUAAACCUGAAAUAAAGAUAAUUAUUAAAAAUUAAGGGGCUGAGGACAUAGCCCAGUUGGAAGAGUGCUUGCCUUGCAUACACGAGGCCCUGGGUUCAAUCCCCAGCACCACCACCAAAAAAAAAAAAUUAUAUGUAUGUGCAUUUCGAUAUAUAUGACAAAUUGUAUUAUGGGUCCCCAUUAUUUCUUGCUCUCCCUAUAUCAGAAUUAUACACCUCAGCCUGAUGGCUUGUGACUUACAUUAUCUCAAUUUAGAUAAGGCUUGCUUUACAACUUGCUUUGACCAAUGUUAUAUGAAAGAAAGUGGCACGUCUGAGAAAAGCUUGAAAAGCCAUCAAAUGACUCCAGUAUUCCUCUUUUCCUUUGCCAUAAUAACAGUUUUACUUAGCUUUCCAUAUGAAAAAUUGUGGAACAGAUGCAAAAUAGCAACUAAUGUGUAAUAUGAACAACAUAUACAUCUUUGUAGUUAUAAGCCAUUGAGAUUUGGCAAGGGGCUGUUUGUUACCAUAAUAUAACCUAUCAAAAUCUGACUAACACAAUAUGAAAUAAGAUAUUCUAGCAUAUAAAAAAGAAGUCUGCAUUUGAUGAAUGUUUUCACCUAUGUUUUGUGACCCAGCAGCUUUAGAUAAACACUGAUACCAAUGAAAGAAUUUAGAAACCAAGAUAUUUCUAUUAGUCCCACGAUUUUCUGCAGUGGUGAUCAACUCUUAGUGAAGCUGUAAGUUAAAAAAAAAAAAAAAAAAGCAAAAAAGCAUCCUACCAGGAACUGUGGCACACACCUAUAAUCCCAGCUGCUAAGCCAGCCUCAGCAACAGCAGGUGCUAAGCAACUCAGUGAGACCCUGUCUCUAAAUAAAAUACCAAAUAAAGGGGGUGGGGUGGGGAUGUGGCUCAGUGGUUGAGUGCCCCUGAGUUCAAUCCCCAGUACUCCACCCAAAAUAAGCAUCUUUCAAUUUAUAUAGUAGUUUACAUCCUGGAAAAUGAAGUCUAUAAUAAAAUUGGGCAAAAUUGGUUGCUGCCAGACUUAUAUAAUUAUGAAGAAAUCCUUCAUCUACAUGAAUGUUAAGUCAUGGGUCUAUUUAUACAAAGUUAAAAAACGGGCUGGGCACAAGGGCACACACUGUAAUCCCAGCAACUCUGGAAGCUAAGGCAGGAGGAUCACAAGUUCAAAGCCAGCCUCAACAACUUAAAUGAGACCCUCAGCAAAUUGGCAAGACCCUGUCUCAAAAGAUAAAAAGGGCUAGGGAUGUAGUUCAGUGGUAAAGUCUCCCUGGGUUCAAUCCCCAGUAACAAAAAAUUCUCAAACAUAUACAUGCUGUUAGAACAUACAUGAAUGUGUGACUGGAAGAAGGCACUAAGUGUGUUCAGUUUGUGAAGAUUAAUCAACUGUACACCAAUAUAUAUUUUUCUAUAUGUAUAUUACACUAUACUCACAAUCAUGCAGGGCGUGGGACAAAUCUUUGAUGUGUGGGUUUGUCUUAUGUAUUACAGUAUAUGAAGCAUUUCUGGUCAUUGUCCAUGAACUGUCAGUAGGUAGUCUCCCUAAAUAAUUGACAACACCAAACACAAUUUUAUCACAAAUUUCUCUAACAGUGAACCCCUGGGUUCCUUAAGUUAUCCUAAUCAAGCCUCACUCCCUGGGCUUGUCUGCUUGAAGCUCAUUGACUACCUGAUAUCUAAAUAAAAUUAGUCUUUCAUUGGUCAGUCUUCUCAGGCAGGGUAGAAGGGAAUGAGCGGUAGGUGUUAUUGUAGUAAGACCCUGUCUCUAAAUAAAAUAUUAAAAAAAAAAAAAAAUAAGGGCUGGGGAUGUGGCUCAGUGGUUGAGUGCCCCUGAGUGCCUCUGGUAGUGGUAAUGAUGAUGGUGGUAGUCAUAGCAAUGGUGGAGGUGGUGGUGAUAGUAGAGGUGGUGUUAAUGGUGAUGAUGGUGGAGGUGAUGAUAGAGGUGACAGCAGUGGUGGUAGCAAUGAUUGGUUAGUUAACCAUCUGUGUCUGCCACAGAAUCUUCCACACACAUUCUCACCAAUAUCUCAAAUCACUUUGUCCUCAUUUUCCAGAAUCUGCAGUGGCUUCCAAUCAUCUACAGAAUAAAACACACUCACUUAUCUUUCUAGACUAUUUUAAGGCUGAUUUUAUUCUCACUGAACGUUGCCUUUUCCCUUCACUUAACAUGCUCUGGAGUCACAAUGCAAUGCUUCUUCUGUUGAGAAAAUCCUGCUCCCAUUCUUACUUCUUUAUUCAAAUGCUUCCUCUUCCACUAAGAAACUUCUAUCACAGAGUUAAUUUCUCCUUUGUUUACCUGCUAUGGGUUGUUUGGUUUUUUUGUUUGUUUGUUUGUUUUUGUUUUUUGGGUUUUUUUAGUAUUUUUUAGUUGUAGAUGGACACACUACCCUUAUUUUAUUUAUUUAUUUUUUAAUGUGGUUCAGAGGAUUGAACCCAAUGCCUCACAUGUGCUAGGCAAGCGCUCUGCCACUGAGCCACAACCCCAACCCCUGGGUAUUUUACUUAUCUCUCUCCAGCUUUUUCUUCAUAGUAAGUUAGCACAAAUCUUUUACAGCCUCCACAAACUUACUAUAGUGAUAGGCACUCACUGGGUGCUCAAAAAAAUGCUGUUGAGUUAAAUUGAACAAGAACACAGCUACUGAAUUUCACAGAAAUCAAGAACCCAAUAUCCAAAUAUUUUAACUGGUUGAGACCUAUAGUUUUUCCUCUGAUUUGAAUUCUAAAUGUCCCUCAGAGGUCUAUGUGUUGAAGGCCUGUUCCCCAGGUGAUAGUAUAGAGAUGUGGUAGAAACUUUUAAUGAGAUGGGUCCUAGUAGAAUGCCAAAGUGCAUUGUGGGACCCCUGGCUCUUCCUCUUUCUCUUUUGCUUCUUGGCCAUGAGGUGAAGAUGAGCGAUUUUGCUCUACCAUGUACUCCCACCAUCAUGUGCAUAGCAUAGAGGCCCGUAUCAACAGGGCCAAUCAAUCAUGUGCAGGAAUUUCUAAAACUGUGUGCUCAAAUAAAUCUUUUCUCUUUUUAA